GAUGAACGCUGGCGGCGUGCCUAAUACAUGCAAGUAGAACGCUGAAGGAGGAGCUUGCUCUUCUGGAUGAGUUGCGAACGGGUGAGUAACGCGUAGGUAACCUGCCUGGUAGCGGGGGAUAACUAUUGGAAACGAUAGCUCAUACCGCAUGACAACAGUUAUUGCAUGAUAACUGUUUAAAAGGGGCAACUGCUCCACUACCAGAUGGACCUGCGUUGUAUUAGCUAGUUGGUGAGGUAACGGCUCACCAAGGCGACGAUACAUAGCCGACCUGAGAGGGUGAUCGGCCACACUGGGACUGAGACACGGCCCAGACUCCUACGGGAGGCAGCAGUAGGGAAUCUUCGGCAAUGGACGGAAGUCUGACCGAGCAACGCCGCGUGAGUGAAGAAGGUUUUCGGAUCGUAAAGCUCUGUUGUAAGAGAAGAACGAGUGUGAGAGUGGAAAGUUCACACUGUGACGGUAUCUUACCAGAAAGGGACGGCUAACUACGUG
rnacentral:rRNA from 1 species